ensembl:lncRNA LINC02839 long intergenic non-protein coding RNA 2839
GAUUGGUUGAAAAGCAUCAUUCAGAAGGAACCAAUAAAGAGAGAGGGGUUGAACUACCUAGAGAAAACCAUUUUAAAUCACAAUUUCAGAAGAUUUUAAAAAUUCAACUCUACCUAAAGACAUCAUAAAAUGGCUCAUUAUUCCAUCAUCCAGGUCAUAUCGUCUAAUAACAGAAAUCAGAGAGAAGUACCAGGAUCAUAAUUACAGAGAGAAGUUUGACCAAAUCCCUUUCUGUAAAAAUGUUAAAUAUAAAUAUAUGUCUUCUAUGUUUUUGUCCUAACCCUAAAUACUAAAUAUUUACUGGGAAGUCUCUUAAUCUGUGAAAGACUGCAUUCAUUUACAUUAAAUAAAAUAUGGGAAUUGCUAAAUUUUAAAUUCAGUAUUCCCUAUGAAAAACUAAACUUAGGAAAAGUAAAUUUUUUAUGAAUUUUGCCACAACUGCUCAUUUGGGGAAUAAAAAUCAGAACUCUGAAAUUUUAGCUUUAAAAACCAAUAUUGUCUUUGAAAGCUAAUGAUCAAGUGAUGAUUUUGUUUUCUAGCCAUUUAAUAAUAACCUUGGCGUUCUUUUUCGGGUUCAUAUGCCUUGCACAAUCUUUGACCAAAACCAAAAUUCUCACCUACUUUCUAUGUAAUAAAUCAUUAGGAAUUAUGAAAAAGAGAGAAAAGAAUUAACGUUAUCCAAGUUUAUAACUAUUGGAUGGGCAUUCUGCUAGAAUGCUUCUUAUGCUUUAUGCUUCUUAUCAUAUUAAUGCUCCAGUAUUAUAUACGAUAGAAAAUAAAAGUUAAUCUAGUAAUAUAUAAUGUUAAAUUCAACUAAAUUUGG